AAAGUACUCCCUCCGUUCGGAAUUACUUGUCUCGGAAAUGGAUGUAUCUAGAACUAAAAUACAUCUAGAUACAUCCAUUUCUACGGCAAGUAAUUCCGAACGGAGGGAGUAGUUG
rfam:Triticum aestivum genome assembly, contig: Triticum_aestivum_CS42_TGACv1_scaffold_222265_3B